UGGGGAUGACGUCAAAUCAUCAUGCCCCUUAUGACCUGGGUUACACACGUGCUACAAUGGUUGGUACAACGAGUUGCGAGUCGGUGACGGCGAGCUAAUCUCUUAAAGCCAAUCUCAGUUCGGAUUGUAGGCUGCAACUCGCCUACAUGAAGUCGGAAUCGCUAGUAAUCGCGGAUCAGCACGCCGCGGUGAAUACGUUCCCGGGCCUU
rnacentral:rRNA from 1 species